GAACAUCGCCGUCCCGUGGCCUCUGUCCGAACCGACCCUGACGUACUUCCCCGACGCCAGGUUCGCCGUCUCGGACAGAGACCACGGGACGGGGAUGGUCCGGA
rfam:Mycobacterium sp. SCH PROKKA_contig000081, whole genome shotgun sequence.